rnacentral:rRNA from 1 species
UACGAAGGGGGCUAGCGUUGCUCGGAAUUACUGGGCGUAAAGCGCACGCAGGCGGUCAGAUCAGUCUGGAGUGACAGUCGUCGGCUUAACCGACGAAGUGUUCUGGAAACUGUCUGACUUGAGGGCUUCAGAGGGACACGGAAUUCCAGGUGCAGCGGUGAAAUGCGUAGAUAUCUGGAGGAACACCGGUGGCGAAGGCGGCGUCCUGGACCAACACUGACACUGAUGAGCGAAAGCCAGGGGAGCAAACGGG